rnacentral:rRNA from 1 species
CGUAGGUGGCAAGCGUUGUCCGGAAUUAUUGGGCGUAAAGCGCGCGCAGGCGGUUCCUUAAGUCUGAUGUGAAAGCCCCCGGCUCAACCGGGGAAGGUCAUUGGAAACUGGGGAACUUGAGUGCAGAAGAGAAGAGCGGAAUUCCACGUGUAGCGGUGAAAUGCGUAGAGAUGCGGAGGAACACCAGUGGCGAAGGCGGCUCUUUGGUCUGUAACUGACGCUGAGGCGCGAAAGCGUGGGGAGCAAACAGGAUUAGAUACCCUGGUAGUCCACGCCGUAAACGAUGAGUGCUAAGUGUUAGAGGGUUUCCGCCCUUUAGUGCUGCAGCUAACGCAUUAAGCACUCCGCCUGGGGAGUACGGCCGCAAGGCUG